AUCAUGGCUCAGGAUGAACGCUAGCUACAGGCUUAACACAUGCAAGUCGAGGGGCAGCAUGACGAUAGCUUGCUAUUGUUGAUGGCGACCGGCGCACGGGUGAGUAACGCGUAUCCAACCUUCCCUAUAGUAGAGGAUAGCCCGGCGAAAGUCGGAUUAAUACUCUAUGUUUUCCAAUGCAGACAUCUAAAAUGGAACAAAGGUUUACCGCUAUAGGAUGGGGAUGCGUCUGAUUAGGUUGUUGGCGGGGUAACGGCCCACCAAGCCUACGAUCAGUAGGGGUUCUGAGAGGAAGGUCCCCCACAUUGGAACUGAGACACGGUCCAAACUCCUACGGGAGGCAGCAGUGAGGAAUAUUGGUCAAUGGGCGAGAGCCUGAACCAGCCAAGUAGCGUGCAGGAAUGACGGCCCUAUGGGUUGUAAACUGCUUUUAUACAGGGAUAAAGUGCGCCACGUGUGGCGCUUUGUAGGUACUGUAUGAAUAAGGACCGGCUAAUUCCGUGCCAGCAGCCGC
rnacentral:rRNA from 1 species